UAUAUAUGUUAAUAUCAUUUAAAUUUAACUAUAUAUCCUAUCAAAUAAAAAAAUAUUGCUGGAUUAAUAAAAUUUAUUUAUAUGUUUCACCAAUUUAAUUAUAUAUGUAAUAGUUACUGAAUUUUCAAUUAUUCAAGGGGAAUUGCCACAAAUACCACUUUCAAUGUACCAUUUUUCAUUAAUACCUUAACCAAUUUUACCAUUAAAAUUUUAAUAGGCAAAAUACAAUUAUGCCCCUAUCUAAUUAAAACUACAACUAUUAUCUUCUUCUCCACUAUCCGAUAAUCAAUCCGACGAGAUCCGGUGAUUCUGACGAGUUUUCCGGCGAGCUUUGACAACGAAGACGAGCUCUCUUGCGAAAUCUGACGAUGCUGAUGAAUUCUCUGGCGAAACACGAAUGAGACGAUCUCUCUCCUGAUGCUGAUGAGUUUCCGGUGAGAUAUGACGACGCUAACGAGUUUUCCGGCGAGAUCUGACGAUGCCGAGAAGUUCUACGGCAAAGCUGACAGACUCGACAAGCUCAGACGAACGAGACGAUCUCUCUCCCAACGCCUAAGAAACACUAACAAAGGUAAGAUGAUAGUAUAUGGUGAUUUUUGCCUCUUUCUGUAAUUUUAGCUUGAUUUAUCAAAAUCGAUAUGUUUCUAAGAAAGAAGACGAAGUUUUUCAAGUGAAGUUUUCAGAUCUCAUAUUUAUAAGAUCUUAUAAAUUGGGUCCUUUCAAAUCUUACUGUUGAUCUGUUAGCAAUCAAAAGACACAAAGCUUAACGUAAGAGUACAAUUAUUGAUUUGGUUGAUUUAUUGUCAUAGUUUUCAGAUUUAUAUAAUUAUUUAAUUCAUGAGAAGGUACUAACCUAAGAGUAUAAUUAUUCCAUGAUUACUUCUUCUCUUGGUUGAUUUGGUGAUGUUGCAGAGAAUUAAAAAUGUGUGUUGUCAGCUUUUGGAUUUAAAGGAUGUUGUGGAGAAUAUGUGUGGUGAUAUGCAUAUCUAAGUAUCUCACUUCCUUAAGAAGCAGUGGAGAUGAAGGAUGAGUUUGUUGAGUUACGAAAGCAUACUAUUUUUGAAUCUUAUUUUGGAAGUGAAUGCUGAUGCGUAGAAAUAAUAUGUGACUGGCUUUUGUUCAGAUUUUGAAAAUUUACGAGGUUGGUGAGCUGUUUGAAGAGGCAAGAGAGACUCUGAAGAAGAAUGUGGUUUGUGCUAUCAAAGAAUUACGUAUUUAUAACGCUUUAUAAAAGUUGCAGAGUUGGCUUCUUAGUACAUUCUUCUCUCUCAUCUUCUUUAGACAUCUCUUAUACUAAAACAAUUGUAUCUCUCUUUUAGUAGUUGCAUAGUUGAAGAUAUUAGUUGGACAUGUAAGUGAGUUUGGUUUCAA